rnacentral:snRNA from 1 species
AUACUUACUUGGCAGGGGAGAUGCCAUGAUCACAAAAGUAGUUCUCCUGGACAGAGGCACAUCUAUUUGUGCUGAUCCCUGUGAUUUCCCCAAAUGUGGGAAACCUGACUGCAUAAUCUGUGGUAGUGGGGGACUGCAUUCAUAUUCUCCUUUA